rnacentral:lncRNA from 1 species
CACACUGUAAUCUCAUCUAUGCCCACUACUGUUAAUGUUGCAUAAUUUGUGCCUUGGAUCCACCACAGCUACCUGAAACCAACAGCACAAGACAAAUGGACCAGCCAACAGGAUCCAGAAUGACCAAACUUGUGGAUCCUGUAGGAGAGUGACCAUCACCAGUGAUGACAGCCUUGCUUUAGUCAUAAUGGAAGGUGACUAGUAUCCCCACCACAGAAGUCUGAGGAUCAACAGCCCUGCUCUGGUGUUUCCAGAGGCUGACCAGUUGUUGCACCGGAAAAUCUUGAGGAAUGUCAUGCAGUUACAACCACCACUGUCACAUACCUCGGUAAAACUGAGGUCAGUGAGCCCUGGACGUCUUGUCUGAAGCAGUGGUUCCCAAGCUUGUUCAUGCGUGAUGCUCUACAGCAUUGUCAAAGUGAGGAUGAGCUUUGAUUCUGGCCACAUAAGAAGCAC